rnacentral:rRNA from 1 species
GCCCAGAUCGUUUACCGUGAAAAAAUUAGAGUGUUCAAAGCGGGCAGAUAUUUUUCCUGCCACCGAAUACAUUAGCAUGGGAUAAUGGAAUAGGACCCUGACCUCCUAUUUUCAGUUGGUUUUGUUU